AGGACGAACGCUGGCGGCGUGCUUAACACAUGCAAGUCGAGCGGAAAGGCCCUUCGGGGUACUCGAGCGGCGAACGGGUGAGUAACACGUGAGUAAUCUGCCCCUAGCUCUGGGAUAGCUCCGGGAAACCGGGAUUAAUACCAGAUACGACCACUUUAGACAUCUUCUGUGGUGGAAAGAACUUCGGCUAGGGAUGAACUCGCGGCCUAUCAGCUUGUUGGUGAGGUAACGGCUCACCAAGGCGACGACGGGUAGCCGGCCUGAGAGGGCGACCGGCCACACUGGGACUGAGACACGGCCCAGACUCCUACGGGAGGCAGCAGUGGGGAAUAUUGCGCAAUGGGCGAAAGCCUGACGCAGCGACGCCGCGUGGGGGAUGAAGGCCUUCGGUUGUAACCCCUUUCAGCAGGGACGAAGCGAAGUGACGGUACCUGCAGAAGAGCGCCGGCUAACUACGUGCCAGCAGCCGC
rnacentral:rRNA from 1 species